rnacentral:rRNA from 1 species
GAUGAACGCUGGCGGCGUGCCUAAUACAUGCAAGUCGAGCGAAUGGAUUAAGAGCUUGCUCUUAUGAAGUUAGCGGCGGACGGGUGAGUAACACGUGGGUAACCUGCCCAUAAGACUGGGAUAACUCCGGGAAACCGGGGCUAAUACCGGAUAACAUUUUGAACCGCAUGGUUCGAAAUUGAAAGGCGGCUUCGGCUGUCACUUAUGGAUGGACCCGCGUCGCAUUAGCUAGUUGGUGAGGUAACGGCUCACCAAGGCAACGAUGCGUAGCCGACCUGAGAGGGGGAUCGGCCACAAUGGGACUGAGACACGGCCCAGCCUCCUACGGGAGGCAGCAGUAGGGAAUCUUCCGCAAUGGACGAAAGUCUGACGGAGCAACGCCGCGUGAGUGAUGAAGGCUUUCGGGUCGUAAAACUCUGUUGUUAGGGAAGAACAAGUGCUAGUUGAAUAAGCUGGCACCUUGACGGUACCUAACCAGAAAGCCACGGCUAACUACGUGCCAGCAGCCGCAGUAA